rnacentral:rRNA from 1 species
GUCUAUGGCCAUACCACCCUGAACAUGAUGCUUUUCUGAUUUCAGAAGCCAAGCAGAAUGGGGCCUGGUUAGUACUUCGAUGGGAGACCUCCUGGGAAAACCUGGUGUUAUAGGUU